rnacentral:tRNA from 1 species
GGAGAUGUAUCGAAGUGGUUAUAACGAGACUGACUCGAAAUCAGUUUGUCGUAUUAAUGCGGCACAUGGGUUCGAAUCCCAUCAUCUCCG